UACGAAAGGGGCUAGCGUUGUUCGGAAUUACUGGGCGUAAAGCGCACGUAGGCGCCACUGUAAGUUGGGGGUGAAAUCCCGGAGCUAAACUCCGGAACUGCCUUCAAGACUGCAGAGCUGGAGGAUGCGAGAGGUGAGUGGAAUUCCGAGUGUAGAGGUGAAAUUCGUAGAUAUUCGGAAGAACACCAGUGGCGAAGGCGGCUCACUGGCGCAUUUCUGACGCUGAGGUGCGAAAGCGUGGGGAGCAAUCAGG
rnacentral:rRNA from 1 species